UACGUAGGGUGCGAGCGUUAAUCGGAAUUACUGGGCGUAAAGCGCACGUAGGCGGCUUUGUAAGUUAGAGGUGAAAGCCCGGGGCUCAACUCCGGAAUUGCCUUUAAGGCUGCAUCGCUAGAAUUGUGGAGAGGUAAGUGGAAUUCCGAGUGUAGAGGUGAAAUUCGUAGAUAUUCGGAAGAACACCAGUGGCGAAGGCGACUUACUGGACACAUAUUGACGCUGAGGAGCGAAAGCGUGGGUAGCAAACAGG
rnacentral:rRNA from 1 species